rnacentral:misc_RNA from 1 species
UUGACGAUUUAUAACCGUGCUCAGACGCUGCGAACAGUGGAGGGUUUGUGGUACUCCGGCGGGCGCACGCGAGCGGGCGCCGGCGGCCCCGGGGGGACGGCCCGCCAAAGCAACGAGGUAAGGUAUUCAGGGUGGGAGAUCUACCCCGGAGGGCAGGAACUCGGUAAUGAUCCUUCCGCAGGUUCACCUACGGAAA